rnacentral:lncRNA from 1 species
CGACCGAGGAGGCCUCGGGCAUUAUGCGACCGAGGUGGUGGCCUCGGCAAGCAUGGAGCCGAGACACUCGACGCAGGCAGGCUGCGGGCGAGGGACGUAACCCAGGUGGGCAAGGUAGUGGAUAUGGCCGAGGAGUUCGGCGCGGGCAGGCUGGCCGCACAGGCGUGUCUCGGGGUUUAUGGAGCCGAGGGGCACGACGCAGGCGUACUGGCGGCGCUGGUCUGUCUCGGGAACAUGGAGCCAAGGAGCACGACGCAGGCGGUCGGGUCGCGCAGGUGUGUCUCGGGGAUGAUGGAAGCGAGGAGCACGACGCAGGCGGGCAGGCCGCGCAGGUGUGGUCUCGGUCAUCAUGCUGUCGAGGAGCACGACGCAGGCGAGCAGAUCGCGUAGGCGUGGUCGCGAGGGCCAUGCGGCCGAGUAGCACGAUCAGGCGGGCAGGACGCGAGGACGUGGCCUCAGGCACCACGCGAUCGAGGAACACGACAGGCGGUCGGGCCGUGCCGAGGUGGGUCUCGGCAGAGAUUGGCCGAGGUGCUCGAUGCAGGUAGGCUGCGACUGAGGGGCACCGCUCAGGCGCGCAAGCCGCGCUGAGGUAGGCUCGGCAUAAACAGGCUGCGACCGAGCGGGCACUGCUCAGGCGGGCAGACCGCGCUGAGGUAGGCUCGGCGCAGGCAAGCUGCGACCGAGGGGCGAGACCCUGGUGGGUAAGCUUCCUUGAGACAGACUCGGUAGUGAAUAUGGCCGAGUAGCUUAGCGCAGGCAGGCUGGCCGCGCAGGCGUGUCUCGGGGGGUAUGGAGCCGAGGGACACGACGUAGGCGGGCUGGCGGCGCUGGUCUGUCUCGGGAACAUGGAGCCAAGGAGUACGACGCAGGCGGCUGGCGGCGCAGGUGUGGUCUCGGGCAUUACGCGACCGAGGAGCACGACGCAGGCGGGCAGACCGCGCAGGCGUGAUCGCGAGGGCCAUGCGACCGAGUAGCACGACGCAGGCGGGCAGGACGCGAGGACGUUGACUCGGGCACCAUGCGGCCGAGGUACACGACAGAGGCGGACAGGUCGCGCCGAGGUAGAUUUCGGCAGUGUUUGGCCGAGGUGCUCGGUGUAGGCGGAUAGACCGCGCAUGGGGCUGAGGCAGCAAGCUGCGCUGUCAGCCGAGCGACUGAGGCGGGCUGGCCGCGCAUGGGGCCGUGGCAGCAGGC